rnacentral:rRNA from 1 species
UACGUAGGGGGCUAGCGUUGUCCGGAAUCAUUGGGCGUAAAGAGCGUGUAGGCGGCCCGGUAAGUCCGCUGUGAAAGUCGGGGGCCCAACCCUCGAAUGCCGGUGGAUACUGUCGGGCUAGAGUGCGGAAGAGGCGAGUGGAAUUCCUGGGUGUAGCGGUGAAAUGCGCAGAUAUCAGGAGGAACACCAAUUGCGAAGGCAGCUCGCUGGGACGUAACUGACGCUGGAGACGCGAAAGCGUGGGGAGCAAACAGG